CAAUCUUGACAUCCUCUGAAACCUCUAGAGAUAGAAUGUUGCCUUUUGGGGGUCAGAGUGACAGGUGGUGCAUGGUUGUCGUCAGCUCGUGUCGUGAGAUGUUGGGUUAAGUCCCGCAACGAGCGCAACCCUUAAUGUUAGUUGCCAUCAUUAAGUUGGGCACUCUAGGGAGACUGCCGGUGACAAACCGGAGGAAGGUGGGGAUGACGUCAAAUCAUCAUGCCCCUUAUGACUUGGGCUACACACGUGCUACAAUGGCCAAUACAAAGGGCAGCGAACCCGCGAGGUCAAGCUAAUCUCAAAAAUCAAUCUCAGUCCGGAUGCAGUCUGCAACUCGACUACAUGAAGUCUGAAUCGCUAGUAUUCGUGAU
rnacentral:rRNA from 1 species